GUAGGUGAACCUGCGGAAGGAUCAUUAUCAUUUUGAUUCUUUAUCCUAAACAAACCGUGAACUGUUCUUCUUUGUUUGUUCUUUACUGAGCGAACAGAGAGCCUUGAGUGCUCAAUUGGAUUAGAGUUUAGGGAUUCAUUUCUCUUUGUUCUUUUCUUUCUGAGUGCUUUUUACCAAUCGAACCCCAAAGAGCCAACUUAAGUCUUACUUAUUUAAAUUGAUUAACUUCUUUUUAAUCUGGAAGAUUUAU
rnacentral:misc_RNA from 1 species